rnacentral:rRNA from 1 species
UUAACCAGGAAGAGUUUCCACAUCCAAUCUACUUCAUGUGUCCUAUGUGAUGAUGAACCCAAUGAGCACUUAAUGCAUCUAUUUUUCAGCUAUGAUUUCAGUCAAAAUUUCUGGAUGAACAUUGGUUUCCAAUGGAAUAUAGAUUAUGAUUUACUUGAAAUGAUGUUGGAGGGCAGAAAGAACAGUAAUAUUAUGUGUUUCAAAGAAUGCUUGAUUACAGGUUGUUGGAGCUUAUGGAAGCACAUGAAUGAUAUCAUAUUUGAUGACAAAGAAAAGAGUAUGUCAUAUUGCAUAAGUUCUUUCAAAGAGCACUUUGGCAUGAUCGUCAAGAAAGCAAAACCUAGUUUGAAGGAAGGAAUGCAGAGCUGGCUAGACUACUUGUAG